UACGAAGGGGGCAAGCGUUGUUCGGAGUUACUGGGCGUAAAGGGCGCGUAGGCGGAUCUGCAAGUCAGAGGUGAAAGCCCUGGGCUCAACCCGGGAAUUGCCUUUGAGACUGUUGGUCUUGAGUAUGGGAGAGGGUGGCGGAAUACCCAGUGUAGAGGUGCAAUUCGUAGAUAUUGGGUAGAACACCGGUGGCGAAGGCGGCCACCUGGCCCAUAACUGACGCUGAGGAGCGAAAGCGUGGGGAGCAAACAGG
rnacentral:rRNA from 1 species